rnacentral:rRNA from 1 species
UACGUAGGAUGCAAGCGUUGUCCGGAAUUAUUGGGCGUAAAGAGCUCGUAGGCGGUCUGUUGCGUCGGCUGUGAAAACCCGAGGCUCAACCUCGGGCCUGCAGCCGAUACGGGCAGACUAGAGUUCGGCAGGGGAGACUGGAAUUCCUGGUGUAGCGGUGAAAUGCGCAGAUAUCAGGAGGAACACCGGUGGCGAAGGCGGGUCUCUGGGCCGAUACUGACGCUGAGGAGCGAAAGCGUGGGGAGCGAACAGG